rnacentral:rRNA from 1 species
AACGUAGGGUGCAAGCGUUGUCCGGAAUUAUUGGGCGUAAAGAGCUCGUAGGCGGCCUGUCGCGUCGGUUGUGAAAGCCCGGGGCUUAACCCCGGGUCUGCAGUCGAUACGGGCAGGCUAGAGUUCGGUAGGGGAGAUCGGAAUUCCUGGUGUAGCGGUGAAAGUGCGCAGAUAUCGAGGAGGAACACCGGUGGCGAAGGCGGAUCUCUGGGCCGUAACUGACGCUGGAGGAGCGAAAGCGUGGGGAGCGAACAGG